rnacentral:rRNA from 1 species
GAGUUUGAUCGUGGCUCAGAUUGAACGCUGGCGGCAUGCCUUACACAUGCAAGUCGAACGGCAGCAUGAUCUAGCUUGCUAGAUUGAUGGCGAGUGGCGAACGGGUGAGUAAUACAUCGGAACGUGCCCUGUAGUGGGGGAUAACUAGUCGAAAGAUUAGCUAAUACCGCAUACGACCUGAGGGUGAAAGUGGGGGACCGCAAGGCCUCAUGCUAUAGGAGCGGCCGAUGUCUGAUUAGCUAGUUGGUGGGGUAAAGGCCCACCAAGGCGACGAUCAGUAGCCGGUCUGAGAGGACGAUCAGCCACACUGGGACUGAGACACGGCCCAGACUCCUACGGGAGGCAGCAGUGGGGAAUUUUGGACAAUGGGCGAAAGCCUGAUCCAGCAAUGCCGCGUGUGUGAAGAAGGCC